rnacentral:rRNA from 1 species
AGCGUUAUCCGGAAUCAUUGGGCGUAAAGCGCCUGUAGGUUGUUUACUAAGUCUGUUGUUAAAGACUAGGGCUUAACCCUAGAAAAGCAAUGGAAACUAAUAGACUAGAGUAUGGCAGGGGUAGAGGGAAUUUCUAGUGUAGCGGUGAAAUGCGUAGAUAUUAGAAAGAACACCGGUGGCGAAAGCGCUCUACUGGACCAUUACUGACACUCAGAGGCGAAAGCUAGGGUAGCAAAAGGGAUUAGAUACCCCUGUAGUCCUAGCCGUAAACGAUGGAUACUAGAUGUUGUGCAUUAAGUACAGUGUCCUAGCUAACGCGUUAAGUAUCCCGCCUGGGGAGUACGCUCGCAAGGGUGAAACUCAAAGGAAUUGACGGGGGCCCGCACAAGCGGUGGAGCAUGUGGUUUAAUUCGAUGCAACGCGAAGAACCUUACCAGGGCUUGACAUACUACGAAUUCUUUUGAAAAAGAGAAGUGCCUUCGGGAAUGUAGAUACAGGUGGUGCAUGGCUGUCGUCAGCUCGUGUCGUGAGAUGUUGGGUUAAGUCCCGCAACGAGCGCAACCCUUAUUUUUAGUUACCAAUUCGUUGGGUUCUUUAGAAAGACUGCCGGUGACAAACCGGAGGAAGGUGAGGAUGACGUCAAGUCAGCAUGCCCCUUAUGUCCUGGGCUACACACGUGCUACAAUGGUUAAGACAAAGAGUCGCGAGCUUGUAAAAGUCAGCUAAUCUCGUAA